rnacentral:rRNA from 1 species
GUGGGGAAUCUUGCACAAUGCGCGAAAGCGUGAUGCAGCAACGCCGCGUGGGGGAAGAAGGCCUUCGGGUUGUAAACCCCUUUCAGUUGGGACGAAGCUUCGACGGUUAAUAGCCGGCUGGAGUGACGGUACCUUCAGAAGAAGCCCCGGCUAACUACGUGCCAGCAGCCGCGGUAAUACGUAGGGGGCAAGCGUUGUCCGGAAUCAUUGGGCGUAAAGCGCGUGUAGGCGGUUCGAUAAGUCUGCUGUGAAAGUCCAGGGCUCAACCCUGGGAUGCCGGUGGAUACUGUCGGGCUAGAGUGCGGAAGAGGCGAGUGGAAUUCCCGGUGUAGCGGUGAAAUGCGCAGAUAUCGGGAGGAACACCAAUUGCGAAGGCAGCUCGCUGGGACGUUACUGACGCUGAGACGCGAAAGCGUGGGGAGCAAACAGG